AGAGAGCUACUUCAGGUUACUGUUAACACUAGUAUCCCCCAGCUGACAGAAGGCGGUGAUGCUGUCAGCAAGUUUAUGCAACAAAUAUUUUCUGGGUUUGAACCCAAAUCACAGCAUGAGAGUUGACCCUUUGGGAAGUCUGGAUGCAGGGGUCUAUGGAUAUCAUGGUUCCACCCCACAGCUGUGAUGCAUCCCAGCCACAAGGUGCCCUGAAGGGAAGCUCCCAGUGUGUUUUGUGUUUGACUGAGUUGGAACCACCAGCAGAUCUCAGAGUCAGCUCAGAGAUGCUCUCCCAGAUGAAAAGGAAUCAGCUUGAAAGCAUUUAGAAAUAGAGCUCCAUGAAAACCAAACUUGGAAGCGCCAGUGCUACUGCAAUAUGUAGUUUUGCCAGCAGAGGGCAGACACAACAUAUCUUCAAGCAAAAUAAGACAGUUCUGCCAGACCAAGUUUCAUUGACAAACAU